GACGAACGCUGGCGGCGUGCUUAACACAUGCAAGUCGAACGGAAAGGCCCUGCUUUUGUGGGGUGCUCGAGUGGCGAACGGGUGAGUAACACGUGAGUAACCUGCCCUUGACUUUGGGAUAACUUCAGGAAACUGGGGCUAAUACCGGAUAGGAGCUCCUGCUGCAUGGUGGGGGUUGGAAAGUUUCGGCGGUUGGGGAUGGACUCGCGGCUUAUCAGCUUGUUGGUGGGGUAGUGGCUUACCAAGGCUUUGACGGGUAGCCGGCCUGAGAGGGUGACCGGCCACAUGGGGACUGAGAUACGGCCCAGACUCCUACGGGAGGCAGCAGUGGGGAAUAUUGCACAAUGGGCGGAAGCCUGAUGCAGCAACGCCGCGUGCGGGAUGACGGCCUUCGGGUUGGAAACCGCUUUCGCCUGUGACGAAGCGUGAGUGACGGUAAUGGGUAAAGAAGCACCGGCUAACUACGU
rnacentral:rRNA from 1 species